UACGUAGGGGGCAAGCGUUGUCCGGAUUUAUUGGGCGUAAAGAGCGUGUAGGCGGCUUGGUAGGUCCGCUGUGAAAACUCGAGGCUCAACCUCGAGAUGUCGGCGGAAACCACUUGGCUAGAGUCCGGAAGAGGAGAGUGGAAUUCCUGGUGUAGCGGUGAAAUGCGCAGAUAUCAGGAAGAACACCUAUGGCGAAGGCAGCUCUCUGGGACGGUACUGACGCUGAGACGCGAAAGCGUGGGGAGCGAACGGG
rnacentral:rRNA from 1 species